rnacentral:rRNA from 1 species
UACAGAGGUCCCAAGCGUUGUUCGGAUUCAUUGGGCGUAAAGGGUGCGUAGGCGGCGCGGUAAGUCGGGUGUGAAAACUCGGGGCUCAACCCCGAGACGCCAUCCGAUACUGCUGUGACUUGAGUCUGGUAGGGGAACACGGAAUUCCUGGUGUAGCGGUGAAAUGCGCAGAUAUCAGGAGGAACACCGAUGGCGAAGGCAGUGUUCUGGGCCAGUACUGACGCUGAGGAGCGAAAGCGUGGGUAGCAAACAGG